CACGCGCGCGCCAGCUGCCCACAGGGCCGAGAGCUGGGGGACCUGGGCCAUCGCUGCCACCCAGGCCGAGCGGGGCGGAGCUAAGCCCAGGACUCCUCUGGCCUUGGGGGCAGUCCGAGCCGCGCUGUCAGCUCUGCAGCAGCAAACGAGUCCAGCGGAGAAGAAGACAGCCAAUAAAGUGAUACUGGAAAAAGGAAGGCGUUAGUUAGUUAGUCAGAACAAGAAUGUGGCAAAGAAAACAUAGGAUCCAAUGGAAUGAGACUCCAGGACCACAGCAGGCAUUAGAGGAGACCCACUGUGGACAGAAAUCAUCAUGUUCACCGUUUACCAGCUGUUCUGAAAGAGGAGUGUGGAAUAGUGAAGUCCAGGCUACCAUCUGUGAGAUGACCUUUUUGGAAGUAUCACUGACCAGAGAACAGAGAGACACUCACUGAAAAUACAAGUGAAUGUAUGGGAUAAGGCAAGAGGAUACGUCCAGAAACCACCUUUCUUUGGAAGAUGGAAAGACUUCACCAGGUAAACCACCCUGACUGGGAGUCAGGUUUGUAUCUGUCCUUGGGCUAAAACUGUAAACUUUCUUUCUGGCUAUCCACCAACUGAUGAAUUUUAUGUCCUCUUGGGUCACUUCUGCAUCUGAGUCUGAGUUCUGACCAUCAGAGUCUGCUACUGAGAUGCAGCAGACACCAGGUGUCCUCAGUGACUCUCCACAUAAGUUUCUGAGACAGGGCCUCUCAAACAUUAACAACAUGCAUAAAGAAUCAACAGAAAAUAUGGCCAACUUUGCUAGAAGUUAAUUUACAAGAAGAUAAAUGGUUUUAAAGCCAACUAAAAUGACCAUGGGACACAAAACUUUCAAACUGAUGCAUUGUAUUUAAAAGAAAGUAAUACUUAGUGCUGGCCUAGGCUUUAGGAAAUGUUAUAAAUAUCAAUUUUAGGUAGUAGAAAUAUAUGUGUGUGUGUGUGUGUGUGUGUGUGUGUGUGUGUGUGUGUGUACACACAAAUAUAUGUAUGUAUCUUGGUAGACUGUACCAAACACUUAUAACAUCAUUGUAUUUGAUUGAAUUAAUAUAAAGCUAGUAUAAAAGCAAUUACAAUAAAAUGAUGUUUAUAAUAUUUGUGAUUUAAAGGAAAUGAGAACUAUAAUAAAAUCUACAGCUAGGGAUGGACUAAAUAAAUUACGGUGCAAAGCAGGAGAGCUAGUUUUGAAAAUUUUUUUAAAAAGAACCUUGUUUCAGUGAGCAAAAGAUCGUUUUAUCAUAGAUAUACAAGCAUACCACAUCCAUAUAUAUUAUGUGCACAUAACUGUUAUGGAAUGAAUGUAUUCAUUAAAAUUCCUAUUUUGAAGCCAUAACCCCCUAUAACUAAAGACUGGGCCUGUAAGGUGUGGUUAUGGUUAAAUAAAGUCAGAAUCUGGUGGUUCCAGUGGCUUUAUGAGAAGAAACAGUGAAGCUGGCAUGUGCUUGCAUAUCUGCACGACAUGUGUCCCUGUCUCUGAAUCAUGAAUACUCAGGAAAAAGACAACUGGCUUCAAACUAAAAAAGUGGUCCCUUACCAGAAACCCAGUAACAAGCACCAUAUUCUUGGAUUUCCCAGUCUCCAAAACCAUCAUGAGAUGAAUUUCGGCUGGGUAAACCACUUGGCCAAUAGCAUAUUACAUUAGCCAACAUACAUUCAAGGUACAUACUGGUGUGACAUCAAAGUGUCUCACCAUAGGCUGGAUUAGAAGGCUGACAUUCUGUGUGACUCACAUGUUUCUUUAUAUUUUUGGUAUUUACAGCAAAUAUGCUACUUUUAUAAGAGGAAAACUACGCAAAUAAAGUCACUCUUGAUUUUAGCUGGAAUAAAAAUGUGGUGAAAAACGAAACAGUUAUCUUCCUUCCUGUUUAUUCAGACUGCGCUUUUAUAGACAGGCUCCGGG